AUGGACUGGACCUGUAGGAUCCUCUUCUUGGUGGCAGUAGCUACAGAUGCCCACUCCCAGGUGUAGCUGGUGCAGUCUGGGGCAGAGGUGAAGAAGCCUGGGGCCUCCGUGAAGGUCUCCUGCAAAGUUUCCGGAUACAUCUUCACCAGCUAUGGUAUGGACUGGGUGCGACAGGCCCCUGGCCAAGGGCUCGAGUGGAUGGGUUUUAUCAACACCAACACUGGUGGCACAGACUAUGCACAGAAGUUCCAGGGCAGGGUCACCAUGACCAUGGACACGUUCACAAGCACAGCCUACAUGGAGCUGAGCAGCCUGAAACCUGAGGACAUGGCUGUGUAUUACUGUGCGAGAGAUUUCUUUCAAAUGUUGUCACUCCAUAUCACAAAAUCUAUUUUAGAGCAGUUUUAA